GGAAGUGUAGCUCAGAGGUAGAAUGUGUGCUUAGCAUGUGCAAGGCCUGGAUUCAAUCCCAGCACCUCCC
rnacentral:tRNA from 1 species